rnacentral:ncRNA from 1 species
GGCCGGGAGUGGGCUAAUAGAAUACCCUUCGGGGGAAUAUGCCCGCCGUCUCGCAACGGUUUCUAGCUCCCGGCCUUUUCCAU